CAGAAUCACGGAAUUGCAGGGGUUGGAAGGGACCUCACAAGUUAUGAUUAUAAAUAUGCCAUGAAAAAUAGGAGAACAGUGUGGCAUUGAGCAUGUUAUGCGAGGAGACAUUCGAAUGGGAAUGCAAGCUCCAAAUGGGAAUGUUUGUUGACAUGGCUGUCCAGCAGAGGAGCAUACAUAAAAUCUGAAGAAAUUCAGAAGCAGAUGGGAGUGAGAAAAAAAGUAUUUCAUGAGUUGGACAAGGGAAAAACGUCUGAUCAAAAUGAAGUUCAGAAAAAAUAAACGGAUGGAAAUCAAAUGCUUCCAGGACAGUUAAAGGAGACAUCAAGGCAGCUCCUAGACAGAAUGAUGUGGGGGAAAAUGCAAAAAACAUGAAAGCUUGUCACUCCGUGCAGUAGAGGUUCUGUCAUGUGAUAUUACUCCACACAGAGGGAAGCCGGAGCAGCCCUGCACGCUGCUUUACACCACUGGAAAAUGCUGAGCUUUGGCUGGGGAAGCUUGGAGUCAGGAGGCGUCUGGGCACAGGGCAGUCCCAUCACUUGAGCUUCACCCGUGUUCCGCUUCUGCAGCAGGUGAGCUCAGCGAGACCAGUUUAAGCAGUGCUGCAGAGGAGAAGAUCAUGGAUGCAAGAAGAUGCCUCAUUUCAGAACACCCAAACAUGAAGAUUUUAUGAACGUCAUUGGGGAUCCUUUGCUGGAGCUGUUGUGUGCUGCCCGCUGCAGCGCAGCCCUCUGUGACCCCUUGCCUCCAAGGAUGGAAUCUGUGAGUCUUUUCCAUCCUGAACUUGUGAGUUCUCCCUCCUGAGCCCAGAGAGCUGGCGUGCAGGAGGAAUGGAUCUCGUCUGUCUGCUGUGAUUCUUGACCCACCUAAUUGGCUAAUGGCCACGAGCAAUAACUGUGUGGCUCAGGGGAGCAGUGCUGGGGAGAGAUGUAGCCGCUCGGGGCAGAGAAGCACUGUGCCGUACCGAACACGUUGCACGUGAUCCUGCCAUCGAUGACCGAACCUCCCUGAAAUCUUAUCAGUUACUGCCAAGAGGAGAAGGACAGCAGGGAAGAGGAGUGUCACGUUGGAACAAUUUUAAGUCCAUUUGAGAACGCUCUGUCUGCCAUUCCUUUUUUAAAGCUACAAAGAUGUGUUUAAGGCAGAGUUCACAAACGCGCAGCUCUCAAGAUCAAGCCAUUCCUUAGCUCACUUUGCAUGCACUUCGUUUGCAUAGCUCGUGGCGUGCAGAACCCUGCCAAGUACACUCUGCUCCUCUGGGCUGCAGUGAGAGGUGGAUGACCAGCGCUGCACGCAGCUAAGCACACAGCCUUAUCAGCGAGCGUGCUUUAGGUAGGUACGUGUGCAAAGUGCUUUCCCGAAGGAGCGGGCAGGUGUGGAAAAUAUCAGAAGGCCAGGUUCUUCCUUAGAACAAGCCCAGUGCCGAGCUGACACUAUCAGCAGCAGCCACACCUCUGCCAGCCCCAGACGGUGCCAGGUGGGUGGAAGCUGUGUGCCUGGGAUCAGUGGGAAAGGGACAAGGGCAGCAGGGGAGGCAGGUGCUGAUGUGAAUGUGCUCUUUCUUGUUUUCUGAAUGCUUCCAGGUUAAAGCGCAGCCAUCUCCAUCACCGUGCUGAGAGAGGAAGUCGCAGAGUCACAGUGUUGACCAGCGCUGUGGCUGGAGGUGAUUUUUUUUUUUUUUUUUUUAAGUCUUCUUUCAAAAUAAUUGUAAUUAAAUCAUUGGUAACUUCUACAUGAAAAGCCCAGUAUGUCAGUGUUACUUAGUAAGAGGUAAGACAUGCUUUGGCAGCAUUAAAUUUUUAGUAGCAUCGUGUAUCAUCUGUAUUUUGUGUGGUUGCAAAAGUGUUGCUCUUACUAUUAUUUGGCUUAAAACCGUCAUGCUUUCUCUUUCCUAUUUUGGGACAUGUAAACUGUUAAACUCCAAGCACUUUUCAGACAUUAUGUUUGACUUACUAUUAUUGCAUACUAUAAAAUACAAUAGAAUGCAGUAUUAAAGUCUAUGCUGAAAGAAUAUUAUUCAGUGGCUAUGAAUAAAAAAUGUGGACAAGUUUUCAAACUUGUGGGUUUUUUUGCUAAUUCUUUACAGAAAGCAUUAUAAUUAUUUGUGUUAUUUUUAAUAUUAAAAAAAAAAGGUUAGUGCCUGUUACUGGGAUGCAUAAGAUGCAGUUGUGUACUGGUGUUUUGUAUUUCUAGGGCUGUAUUUUAUAAACUGAAAAUGUACACUUUUUAAUUUUAGCAUCUUGUUAGCAUAUGCAGUAGAAACUAGUUUUAUAUCUGAAUGUGGGAGUGAGAAGCUCUGUAUUUUUAGCUAUUUCUUUAUUCCAAUAAAUUCAUCCGACAGACCGGCUCUGCAAGUUGAAGAUGAAAAAUUGGUUCCUAAACUACUCGUGUGCUGCUUCAACACUGUGAGGCGAUUCCCCUGUGCUAAAGUGUAAACUACCAACUAAUCCGUAGCAGUUUUACAGGAGAGAGUCAUUUAAUUAACACUUUUAAUUUCAGAUCUGAAAGAAGGUGAAAGCGAGGUCUGGAAAGUGGAGGGAGGCUUUGCUUUUCAUAGCUGAAGAGCUGCUGUGCUCUAAGUCUGCUGUUGAUAGCACCCAUAGACCACCUCCUUCCUGCUAAUUAGGCCUCACGAACACGGUCUCUGGAAAUGGCUUGAGAAGUGUGUUGGGUGGUUGUUUUUUUUCCCCCAACAAACCGCUACACCGUCAUAAAUAAGGAAACUGUAUUGUAUGUAGCUAUUGCACAAGGCUCGUUUGGCAGGCCAUAAUUUAAUAGAACAACAAGGAUCAGACUAGUAUAUCAGUUAAUUUUCAAAACAUUUUAUUCCACACAAAUUAGCACAGGUCCUGGAGGGCAAAAUGACAAGAGGUUACUCGUACACUAUGUAUUUAAUUAAUUGAAAAAUGCUCAAAUUGCUUUUACAGUUGUUAUUAGAAAGUAGAAUCAGUGUUGCCAGUGCUCAACCAUAAUUAGAGCCCCAGGGAAUUAAAUAUUUAGCAUUAGUAAUGUAACAGCACUUAGGACACAAAUUUCUAUUUUUGUAAUGAAAGCAAUACAGUGUAAGUGCAAAUGGCUGAAACGACAGCUGUGACAAGUGAAGCAGCCUGGGAUAUUUCAAUAAGACACCUCAUUGGACAGCAAGUCUUAGCACAUUACUCGUUGGUGAGAGAUCUGCAAGUUUGAAUCCCAGCAGUCGCACGCUGCGCCCUGGAUUUAUGCUCCUGAGGGCGCGCGGCACGAACGCUUGGGCCGAGCUCAGGCCGUGAGCCGUGGAAACGGGCCGCGUUCCCCAAGUACCACAGCGGGGGCGGCACGGCCGAGCGGGAAGCCAACUCUCGUUUGUCUGACGUUUAAUCACGUUUGAAGCAGGCGCGCUUUCAGCGGCAGCACGACGUGAGAAGCCGGGCGCUGGGCUGUAAUGAGCCGCGCUGGUGGAUGGUGGGACCCGGGGGAUUGGUUCAGCACAGGGCUGGGGCGCGGCGCCGCCGGGCUGCGCUCCGCUCCGAGCUCUCUCCCCCCGCCUUUGUUCUGAGCCACGCGGGCUGUCGGGAGGUGCGGUGCUGAGAAGGAAUAAAGCACGUUGACUUCAGUUCUCUGGUUUUUUUCUUCUUGGGAUGGAGGGGAAGGAGGGCAUUUCGAAGCCACUCGUGUUUCUUGAAUAAAAUAAUACUGUGUUUGGGCACGGCACGCCUUGCCGAUAUAUCUGAGGAUGCAUUUCCUCAGGAGGCGCCACGUGCGUGGAAGAGCUGCCGCGCUGUUUGCAGGCGCUGCCCGCCCGCCCG